rnacentral:rRNA from 1 species
GAUGAACGCUGGCGGCGUGCCUAAUACAUGCAAGUCGAGCGAACAGACGAGGAGCUUGCUCCUCUGACGUUAGCGGCGGACGGGUGAGUAACACGUGGAUAACCUACCUAUAAGACUGGGAUAACUUCGGGAAACCGGAGCUAAUACCGGAUAAUAUAUUGAACCGCAUGGUUCAAUAGUGAAAGACGGUUUUGCUGUCACUUAUAGAUGGAUCCGCGCCGCAUUAGCUAGUUGGUAAGGUAACGGCUUACCAAGGCGACGAUGCGUAGCCGACCUGAGAGGGUGAUCGGCCACACUGGAACUGAGACACGGUCCAGACUCCUACGGGAGGCAGCAGUAGGGAAUCUUCCGCAAUGGGCGAAAGCCUGACGGAGCAACGCCGCGUGAGUGAUGAAGGUCUUCGGAUCGUAAAACUCUGCUAUUAGGGAAGAACAAAUGUGUAAGUAACUAUGCACGUCUUGACGGUACCUAAUCAGAAAGCCACGGCUAACUACGUG